UGGGGAAUAUUGGACAAUGGGCGCAAGCCUGAUCCAGCCAUACCGCGUGGGUGAAGAAGGCCUUCGGGUUGUAAAGCCCUUUUGUUGGGAAAGAAAAGCAGCUGGUUAAUACCCGGUUGUUCUGACGGUACCCAAAGAAUAAGCACCGGCUAACUUCGUGCCAGCAGCCGCGGUAAUACGAAGGGUGCAAGCGUUACUCGGAAUUACUGGGCGUAAAGCGUGCGUAGGUGGUUGUUUAAGUCUGUCGUGAAAGCCCUGGGCUCAACCUGGGAAUUGCGAUGGAAACUGGGCGACUAGAGUGUGGCAGAGGAUAGUGGAGUUCCUGGUGUAGCAGUGAAAUGCGUAGAGAUCAGGAGGAACAUCCGUGGCGAAGGCGACUGUCUGGGCCAACACUGACACUGAGGCACGAAAGCGUGGGGAGCAAACAGG
rnacentral:rRNA from 1 species